UNCAGUACGCUUCUGGCUUUCUAACAGAC
rnacentral:piRNA from 1 species